UACGUAGGGGGCAAGCGUUGUCCGGAUUUAUUGGGCGUAAAGCGCUCGCAGGUGGUUCGUUGCGUCGUGCGUGAAAGACCCCGGCUCAACUGGGGAGGGUCGUGCGAUACGGGCGGACUGGAGGCCAGUAGGGGGAUGCGGAAUUCCGGGUGUAGUGGUGGAAUGCGUAGAGAUCCGGAGGAACACCAGCGGCGAAGGCGGCUCACUGGCCCGGUACUGACGCUGAGGCACGAAAGGCGUGGGGAGCAAACAGG
rnacentral:rRNA from 1 species